rnacentral:sRNA from 1 species
AAGCUGAUAGGUUCAUGUUCUGCAUCUCUGGUCUCUUUUAAAGGUCAACUCUAAAUGGUAUUUAUAUAUCUGUUGCUCGAUUAGCAUCAGUCCUGUCUGCACUAACACUUGUUACUAGAAAGUAUUUUGUACUUCUUCCCAUGAUUUUCUGUGGAGUCCUACCCAUAGUGGCAACAAUCAACAUCUACUUUCUGCCAGAGACCUUUAAUCAUCCAAUUACUGACACUAUCAAGGAUAUGGAGAAAAGGAACAGAUUGAUGAGCAAAAACAUCAGUGAAAAAGAAGGACAAGACUUUUUAGAAACUACCAACUGCUAAAGAAGCCAAGAUCCACAGGGUUUCAUCCAUGCAAAUCCUCUUUAUUCUGUUCUGUACCCUAGAGACUUUACUCAUUGAUUGGCAUUCAUGAAUAAACUUAUUAAAUGAACUUA